UACGAAGGGGGCUAGCGUUGCUCGGAAUUACUGGGCGUAAAGGGCGCGUAGGCGGACAGCUUAGCCAGAGGUGAAAGCCCAGGGCUCAACCUUGGAAUUGCCUUUGAUACUGGCUGUCUUGAGUUCGGGAGAGGUGAGUGGAAUGCCGAGUGUAGAGGUGAAAUUCGUAGAUAUUCGGCGGAACACCAGUGGCGAAGGCGACUCACUGGCCCGAUACUGACGCUGAGGCGCGAAAGCGUGGGGAGCAAACAGG
rnacentral:rRNA from 1 species